CACCUAAUAGCACAUAGUGUGUACCCGCCUUUUCUGGGUAUUCUUUGUGCGUGCAGGCGGGAGGUCCCUGUUCGAUUCAGGGUUGGGUGA